rnacentral:rRNA from 1 species
GACGAACGCUGGCGGCGUGCUUAACACAUGCAAGUCGAACGGAAAGGCCCUGCUUGCAGGGUGCUCGAGUGGCGAACGGGUGAGUAACACGUGGGUGAUCUGCCCCUUAUUUUGGGAUAAGCCUGGGAAACUGGGUCUAAUACUGGAUAGGACCAUGCUGUAGGUGGUGUGGUGGAAAGAUUAGUUUCGGUAAGGGAUGAGCUCGCGGCCUAUCAGCUUGUUGGUGGGGUAAUGGCCUACCAAGGCGUCGACGGGUAGCCGGCCUGAGAGGGUGGACGGCCACAUUGGGACUGAGAUGCGGGCCAGACUCCUACGGGAGGCAGCAGUGGGGAAUAUUGCACAAUGGGCGCAAGCCUGAUGCAGCGACGCCGCGUGGGGGAUGACGGCCUUCGGGUUGUAAACUCCUUUCAGCCAUGACGAAGCCCUUGUGGUGACGGUAGUGGUAGAAGAAGCACCGGCUAACUACGUG